CGGUUAAAUGUAAAUUUCAAAAAACCCCAAGUGUUUUAGUACAAGUAUAUCCCAUGCAAUAUUUGGGAUAUACUUAUACUAAAAAUUAUUCAUUGUUUGUUCAAAAUCUCUG
rnacentral:miRNA from 1 species